AUUGAACGCUGGCGGCAGGCCUAACACAUGCAAGUCGAACGAGUGGCGGACGGGUGAGUAAUGUCUGGGAAACUGCCUGAUGGAGGGGGAUAACUCCUGGAAACGGUAGCUAAUACCGCAUACCAUCAGAUGUGCCCAGAUGGGAUUAGCUUGUUGGUGGGGUAAUGGCUCACCAAGGCGACGAUCCCUAGCUGGUCUGAGAGGAUGACCAGCCCAACUGGAACGUGGGCACGGUCCAGACGCCUACGGGAGGCAGCAGUGGGGAAGAUUGCACAAUGGGCGCAAGCCUGAUGCAGCCGUGCCGCGUGUAUGAAGAAGGACUUCGGGUUGUAAAGUACUUUCAGCGUGGAGGCGUUACCCGCAGAAGAAGCACCGGCUAACUCCGUGCCAGCAGCCGCGGUAAUUC
rnacentral:rRNA from 1 species